CAGUGUGAAAUCAUUAACAGAAAGUUUAACACUGGAGCACAAAGACAGCGGCAGGAGCUGUAAAAACCAAUGUAUAUAUGAUCCAUCCUGCCCAGUCAACCUUUUGGGGAGAGAUGCUCUAGAAAAACUUAAAAUAGGAGUAGUUCCAGGGCCAGAAGGAAUGUAUGCAAAAACAAUGCUGUGCGAGGGACUAGACCAUCAAGUUAACGAGUUGGUAGUGCAUGAAGGAGAAGGUGUACCCAGUUACUACUGGACACUGGACCUACCCCCAUUAAAACCUUUGCAAAACAUAGCUAACCGCUACCUACCAGGCCACUCCAGAAAGCUAAACUUCUCUGAGUACCACAACACCCUGAGAUUCAAACAAAGUCCAGGUCCACAAAAACUCACCCUGCAACACCUGUACGUCACCCAAAGUGGAAACGCAGUAUGUUCAGUGAUACAGCCAGAGAAGGUGCAGGAUUUAAACAGAAUGCCAAAACCACAUGUGUCAGUUGCAAGAAACGAAAGCACACAGUGGAAGGAUCUAGGUCACAUCCUCACACAGGUGGAGAGGGAUAGAUAUGAAAAAACUGAAGAAACUCAUGAAGGGUGGUUACAGGGCCGUAGAACAGGGUGUAUGCGAUACACUCUGGGGUGGGUGUUCACUGCACAGCCAGCAACCCACAUGACUGACUGUGCAAACGCAUAUAUGUCUGAAAACAAUGAGAACUGACACACACUCUCUUUAGAACAAAACUCUGAAUUGGCAGAGUUACCUGCAAGACUGUGGUCUACAGGACCAACAGAUGUAGGAUUAAUCAAAGAAGCAGACCCUGUUGUAGUAAAAACCACCACCACCUAUAGACCAGUGAAACCACAAUACCCUCUCACAGCCGAAGCCAAAGCUGGAAUAAAACCCAUCAUUGCAGACAUGGAGAAGGCAGGAAUCUUAGUCAAAACAAACAAAGUAACCUGCAACACACCAAUCUUCCCCGUGAAAAAAAAGCUAACACAGGAAAGUACCGGCUGGUACAUGAUCUAAGAGCAAUAAAUGAAGUAACAGAGCAAAUCCCACCAGUAGUGGCAAACCCGCA
ensembl:lncRNA